rnacentral:rRNA from 1 species
UGGGGAAUAUUGCACAAUGGGCGCAAGCCUGAUGCAGCCAUGCCGCGUGUGUGAAGAAGGCCUUCGGGUUGUAAAGCACUUUCAGCGGGGAGGAAGGCGAUAAGGUUAAUAACCUUGUCGAUUGACGUUACCCGCAGAAGAAGCACCGGCUAACUCCGUGCCAGCAGCCGCGGUAAUACGGAGGGUGCAAGCGUUAAUCGGAAUUACUGGGCGUAAAGCGCACGCAGGCGGUCUGUCAAGUCGGAUGUGAAAUCCCCGGGCUCAACCUGGGAACUGCAUUCGAAACUGGCAGGCUAGAGUCUUGUAGAGGGGGGUAGAAUUCCAUGUGUAGCGGUGAAAUGCGUAGAGAUGUGGAGGAAUACCGGUGGCGAAGGCGGCCCCCUGGACAAAGACUGACGCUCAGGUGCGAAAGCGUGGGGAGCAAACAGG